UUUAGGUUUUCCUUUCCUCACUGUAGGGAUACUGCCUUCUAGGAGACUUUUUCCCAGCAUUCAUUCUCAGGCUGGGGGAAGUCUUUUAAAUGUGGCAGAGUAAAGCAGCUGCAAACCUUAAGCAGCCAUUUUGUAUCUAGCUAUUGUCUUCUGUUGCAUCUUUUCCCCUUGGUAGAAGUCUGAAGUGAGAAAUAUUUGCCCCGGAAACUACGCUUUUCCUGACAUGGACAGGCUGAGAACUCUGAAAAAAAUCUUGAAACAGUUGCUUGCGCUUGAUCAUUCUCCUAGAUUGGGCAAAGAAAAACCACACAUAUGCACAGUAAAAUAGACAGUUCCUUCUGACUGAAUUUACUGCAGAAAAAAACUAUUUGACGAUCUUGUACAGGAAAUAAGAGUUAUGCUGCGUCUUUUUUUAAUUUAAGCAGUACACACAAAUCAAAUGUAUUUAUUAAAUCAAUGUAUAGUCAUUUUUACAAGGAAGUGUAAUUUAAAAACAGACAUAAAAGAUUUCCAAAGUAAUGAUACACAUCUCUUUUGGACAAAUGUUGUUUCAGGGAUUUAUGAUAAUUCCUUUUCUCAAAGAAAAAUGAAACUAAUUGAAACAAACUUUGUACUUUAUAUUAAUGCCAUUCGAAUACAGUAUGCACUGCCAGUUAUAAAGUGACAUUGAAAGCUGAUGCUGUUCUCAACA